rnacentral:rRNA from 1 species
UACGUAGGUGGCGAGCGUUAAUCGGAAUCACUGGGCGUAAAGCGCACGUAGGUGGCUAAGUAAGUCACAUGUGAAAGCCCUCGGCUCAACCGGGGAACUGCGUGUGAUACUGCCUUGCUUGAGUCCUGGAGAGGGUGGCGGAAUUCCCGGUGUAGGAGUGAAAUCCGUAGAUAUCGGGAGGAACACCAGUGGCGAAGGCGGCCACCUGGACAGGAACUGGCGCUGAGGUGCGAAAGUGUGGGGAGCAAAC